GAUGAACGCUAGCGGCGUGCCUAAUACAUGCAAGUCGAGCGAAGAGGGGACGGGUGAGUAACACGUAGAAAACCUCCUAUAAGACUGGGAUAACUUCUGGAAACAGGAGCUAAAACGGAUACUUAUCGAUGGAUCCUUGCUGCAUUAGCUAGUUGUUAAGGUAACGGCUUACCAAGGCAACGCUGCAUAGCCAACAUGAAGGGGUGAUCGGCCACACUGGCACUGAGACACGGUCCCGACCCCGACUGGAGGCAUCAGUAGGAAAUCAUCCACAAGGGGGGAAAGCCUGAUCGAGCAACUCCGCGUGGAUGAUGAAGGUCUUCGGAUCGUAAAACUCUGUUAUUAGAGAAGCGGUACCUAAUCAGAAAGCCACGGCUAACUACGUGCCAGCAGCCGCGGUAAUGC
rnacentral:rRNA from 1 species